UACCUCAGGCUCUCACAUGCUGGGAUUACAGGUGUACAUGAUUGCAUCCCAGCUGGGUUUUGUUGUUGUUGUUGUUGUUGUUUUUGUUUUGUUUUUGUAUUUUUUGCAGUGUCUUUAUUAUCAUACAUUCAUUAUAUAAAUUAGUUUUAUUACUUAUUAUGUUCUCAAACUUGUACAUAACAUUUCAAUCACAUUUACCCCCAACCCUCACCCUGUCUCUUUCUCCUCUCAGUCUUCGUUAAAUCAGUGAAUGUCAUUAAUGUUAUUUACAGGAGAGCAGUUUGUUUACAGAAGCAUGGACACCUUUCCAGUGUCUAUACUACUAUAGAAGAUGAGUCCUUGUCCCCACCAACCAUCAAUCAAUUAUAGAUCCUCAAGAAGGGGCGGGGCCUCAGACCCCGCUCCCAAUCAUGAUGGAAUGUUGGUGAUAGGCCCAAUUUUGUGGAGAAGCAGUGCAAAUCAGCCAAAGCUGCUUGUGAGUUCAGGAUUACAACAGUCAUCUCAUGCCUGGGAGCCAGCAUUCCACACCUCUCCUCACCCUUCCUUGGAGUCUUGCAUUCAUUCUUCUUCCCUGAGUGUUGGACGGGGUAAUUUAGAUGAACCGUGGUGUGAUGUGUGGCCAGGCAUUAAGUAAUCCUGUAUUGUCUGUACUUUGACCAAUUAUUAGGCUCUGUAGUCACUGCUGACCACUGAAAAAAGGAAAUGCCUGUGACUAAAGCUGACUGUAGAGUGAUUUUUUUUCUAAGAGC
rnacentral:lncRNA from 1 species